GAUAGGCCGGGUGUGUAAGCGCAGCGAUGCGUUGAGCUAACCGGUACUAAUGAACCGUGAGGCUUAACCUUACAACGCCGAAG
rnacentral:rRNA from 14 species